rnacentral:rRNA from 1 species
CACUGCCCGUAAUGGGGUAGUACGUUUACGUGAAUUCAUAGCGUAAAYGAGGCACACCCGGAGAACUGAAACAUCUAAGUACCCGGAGGAAGAGAAAGAAACAUCGAUUCCCUAAGUAGCGGCGAGCGAAACGGGAAGAGCCCAAACCAGGAAGCUUGCUUCCUGGGGUUGUAGGACACUCAGCACGGAGUUACAAAAGGAUGGGUUAGGCGAAGCGACCUGGAAAGGUCCGCCAUAGCGGGUAAAAGCCCCGUAGCCGAAAGCCCAGCCACUCCUGAGUGGAUCCUGAGUACGGCGGAACACGUGAAAUUCCGUCGGAAUCCGGGAGGACCAUCUCCCAAGGCUAAAUACUCCCUAGUGACCGAUAGUGAACCAGUACCGUGAGGGAAAGGUGAAAAGCACCCCGGAAGGGGAGUGAAAGAGAACCUGAAACCGUGUGCCUACAAGUUGUCAGAGCCCGUUAAUGGGUGAUGGCGUGCCUUUUGUAGAAUGAACCGGCGAGUUACGAUUCCAUGCAAGGUUAAGCAGCGAAUGCGGAGCCGCAGCGAAAGCGAGUCUGAAUAGGRCGAAUGAGUAUGGGGUCGUAGACCCGAAACCAGGUGAUCUACCCAUGUCCAGGGUGAAGGUAAGGUAACACUUACUGGAGGCCCGAACCCACGUACGUUGAAAAGUGCGGGGAUGAGGUGUGGGUAGCGGUGAAAUUCCAAUCGAACCUGGAGAUAGCUGGUUCUCUCCGAAAUAGCUUUAGGGCUAGCCUCAAACGAAAGAAUCUCGGAGGUAGAGCACUGUUUGGACUAGGGGCCCAUCCCGGGUUACCGAAUUCAGACAAACUCCGAAUGCCGAUGAUUUAUGUUUGGGAGUCAGACUGCGGGUGAUAAGAUCCGUAGUCGAGAGGGAAACAGCCCAGACCGCCAGUUAAGGUCCCCAAGUAUCCGUUAAGUGGAAAAGGAUGUGGCGCUGCCCAGACAACCAGGAUGUUGGCUUAGAAGCAGCCAUCAUUUAAAGAGUGCGUAAUAGCUCACUGGUCGAGUGGCGCUGCGCCGAAAAUGUACCGGGGCUAAACGGAUCACCGAAACUGCGGAUUGACACCAUUGGUGUCAGUGGUAGGAGAGCGUUCCAAGGGCGUUGAAGCCAGAUCGUAAGGACUGGUGGAGCGCUUGGAAGUGAGAAUGCCGGUAUGAGUAGCGAAAGAAGGGUGAGAAUCCCUUCCACCGAAUGCCUAAGGUUUCCUGAGGAAGGCUCGUCCGCUCAGGGUUAGUCGGGACCUAAGUCGAGGCCGAAAGGCGUAGACGAUGGAGAACAGGUUGAUAUUCCUGUACCACCUCCCCGCCGUUAUCAGCAAUGGGGGGACGCAGUAGGAUAGGGUGAGCGCGCUGUUGGUCAUGCGCGUCUAAGCAGUGAGGUGUGGAACGAGGCAAAUCCCGUUCCUAUAACACUGGGCUGUGAUGGCAAGGGGAAAUGUCCCCGGAGUCCCUGAUUUCACACUGCCAAGAAAAGCCUCUAGCGAGGCGGGAGGUGCCCGUACCGCAAACCGACACAGGUAGGCGAGGAGAGAAUCCUAAGGUGAUCGAGAGAACUCUCGUUAAGGAACUCGGCAAAAUGACCCCGUAACUUCGGGAGAAGGGGUGCUCUGAUAGGGUGUUAAAGCCCGAGAGAGCCGCAGUGAAUAGGCCCAGGCGACUGUUUAGCAAAAACACAGGUCUCUGCAAAACCGUAAGGUGACGUAUAGGGGCUGACGCCUGCCCGGUGCUGGAAGGUUAAGAGGAGAGGUCAGCGCAAGCGAAGCUUCGAAUUGAAGCCCCAGUAAACGGCGGCCGUAACUAUAACGGUCCUAAGGUAGCGAAAUUCCUUGUCGGGUAAGUUCCGACCCGCACGAAAGGCGUAACGAUCUGGGCACUGUCUCAACGAGAGACUCGGUGAAAUUAUAAUAUGCGUGAAGAUGCGCAUUACCCGCGACAGGACGGAAAGACCCCGUGGAGCUUUACUGUAGCCUGAUAUUGAAUUCCGGUGCAGCCUGUACAGGAUAGGUAGGAGCCUUGGAAUCCGGAGCGCCAGCUUCGGAGGAGGCAAUGGUGGGAUACUACCCUGGCUGUAUUGGACUUCUAACCCUUGCCCGUGAUCCGGGCAGGAGACAGUGUCAGGUGGGC